rnacentral:rRNA from 1 species
CCCUUAGAUGUUCUGGGCCGCACGCGCGCUACACUGAUACGUUCAACGAGCUCCUUGACCGAGAGGCCCGGGUAAUCUUUGAAACCGUAUCGUGAUGGGGAUAGAACAUUGCAAUUAUUGUUCUUCAGCGAGGAAUGCCUAGUAAGCGCGAGUCAUCAUCUCGCGUUGAUUACGUCCCUGCCCUUUGUACACACCGCCCGUCGCUCCUACCGAUUGAACGUGCUGGUGAAGCGUUAGGACUGGAGGUCUUGGGCCGGUUCGCCUGCCCAUAGCUUCGGGAAUUUCGUUGAACCCUCCCGUUUAGAGGAAGGAGAAGUCGUAACA